UCUAACCUUCACUAGGAGUGUCCAAUGCACGCGUCAUUCCCCCUUUUUUCUACUUGCAGAUCGUCCAAUUGCCUCUAUUGCUUUUCAUGCAUAAGGAGAAAUUCUUGCUGUAGCUUCAGGUCACAAGCUGUUCAUAUGGAACUACAACAAGAGAGGGGAGGCUUCUUCCCCAACAAUUGUAUUGAAAACUCGACGAUCAUUGCGAGCAGUGCAUUUUCAUCCCUGUGCUGCUCCUUUCCUACUAAUGGCCGAGGUUAAUAGUAUUGAUUCAUCGGAUCCCCCAUUAACACUUG